rnacentral:misc_RNA from 1 species
CUAGAAGUUUGGCUAGGAGCUUUCCAGCCAACCUCCCACCCUUUGUGUCCAUACCCUUGAUGUUGCUUUGGCGGGGGGCCCCCGCCAGAGGUGUUAAACCCGUUGAAAAUGGUUAUUGACUGUUCCACAAACUUGACA